rnacentral:rRNA from 1 species
GACGAACGCUGGCGGCGUGCUUAACACAUGCAAGUCGAACGGAAAGGCCCUGCUUUUGUGGGGUGCUCGAGUGGCGAACGGGUGAGUAACACGUGAGUAACCUGCCCUUGACUUUGGGAUAACUUCAGGAAACUGGGGCUAAUACCGGAUAGGAGCUCCUGCUGCAUGGUGGGGGUUGGAAAGUUUCGGCGGUUGGGGAUGGACUCGCGGCUUAUCAGCUUGUUGGUGGGGCAGUGGCUUACCAAGGCUUUGACGGGUAGCCGGCCUGAGAGGGUGACCGGCCACAUUGGGACUGAGAUACGGCCCAGACCCCUACGGGAGGCAGCAGUGGGGAAUAUUGCACAAUGGGCGGAAGCCUGAUGCAGCAACGCCGCGUGCGGGAUGACGGCCUUCGGGUUGUAAACCGCUUUCGCCUGUGACGAAGCGUGAGUGACGGUAAUGGGUAAAGAAGCACCGGCUAACUACGUG